rnacentral:rRNA from 1 species
AUUGAACGCUGGCGGCAGGCCUAACACAUGCAAGUCGAACGAGUGGCGGACGGGUGAGUAAUGUCUGGGACACUGCCUGAUGGAGGGGGCUAACUACUGGAAACGGUAGCUAAUACCGCAUACCAUCGGAUGUGCCCAGAUGGGAUUCGCUAGUAGGUGGGGUAAAGGCUCACCUAGGCGCCGAUCCCUAGCUGGUCUGAGAGGAUGACCAGGAACACGGGAACUGAGCAACGGUCCAGACUCCUACGGGAGGCAGCAGGGGGGAAUAGGGAACAAUGGGCGAAAGCCUGAUGCAGCCAUGCCGCGUGUAUGAAGAAGGCCUGCGGAUUGUAAAGUACUUUAAUCGGGGAGGCGUUACCUGCAGAAGAAGCACCGGCUAACUCCGUGCCAGCAGCCGCGGUAAUUC